GACGAACUGUGCAAACGUUAUUCGGAAUCACUGGGCUUGAAGAGUGCGUAGGCGGUUUUGUAAGUAGGGUGUGAAAGCCCCCCGGCUCAACCGGGGAAUUGCGCCUUAAACUGCAAGGCUGGAGUGAGGUAGGGGUGUGUGGAACUUCCAGUGGAGCGGUGAAAUGUGUUGAUAUUGGAAGGAACGCCGGUGGCGAAAGCGACACACUGGACCUUGUCUGACGCUGAGGCACGAAAGCCAGGGAGCAAACGGGA
rnacentral:rRNA from 1 species